AGCGAACGCUGGCGGCAGGCUUAACACAUGCAAGUCGAGCGGGCCCUUCGGGGUCAGCGGCGGACGGGUGAGUAACGCGUGGGAACGUGCCUUCUGGUUCGGAAUAACUCAGGGAAACUUGAGCUAAUACCGGAUACGCCCUUUUGGGGAAAGGUUUACUGCCGGAAGAUCGGCCCGCGUCUGAUUAGCUAGUUGGUGGGGUAACGGCCUACCAAGGCGACGAUCAGUAGCUGGUCUGAGAGGAUGAUCAGCCACACUGGGACUGAGACACGGCCCAGACUCCUACGGGAGGCAGGAGUGGGGAAUAUUGGACAAUGGGCGCAAGCCUGAUCCAGCCAUGCCGCGUGAGUGAUGAAGGCCUUAGGGUUGUAAAGCUCUUUUAUCCGGGACGAUAAUGACGGUACCGGAGGAAUAAGCCCCGGCUAACUUCGUG
rnacentral:rRNA from 1 species